AAUUAGAUACCCCACUAUAUGGAACGAAAAUAACCGUCGAAGCACUAAGGCCCUCAGGCUAAAACUUAAUAGGCAUGGCGGCAGACCAGACUUCUCAGGGGAAUUUACCUGGUAAUUGAUAACCCUCAUGGUGCCCCUCACAACCAAUAUCGUUUGUAUACCGCCGUCUACAGAUACCGUCUAAGACUGUAUCGAUUUUCUACCGGAAUAAAGACAGGUCAUGGCGCAGCCUAUGGUUGUGUGCAAGGUGAGUUACAAUCACUAAUUGUGUCGAAUACGGAAGUUAAACAAUCCCGUAGAAGAAGGACUUGAAAGUAAAGUAUUAGGGAAGUAUAUCUUGAAUAGUCCUCUGAUCUGUGUACACACCGCCCGU
rnacentral:rRNA from 1 species